CCUUUUGCUUCCAGAAACAAUGAGCUCUCUCUCACAGAAACCACAAGCUCUAUUCUUCCCUGUUUUUCUUCUCAGCAUCUUACAAAACUACUUCUUUCUUCAUAUUCUCUUUGUGUGUCUUCCUUCCCGACUCCCACUGUCUUCCUUCCCGACUCGAGUCAUCGGGUAAAACUCAUAUUCUUCCCUGAUUUCGACUUCUCUUUAACUCUUGAUCUUCACCAUGCAGUCACCAGCCUAUCUACCGAGUUGUACCAGAAAGACAUACCAUUUUCUCAUUAAGCUCAUACAGAAUGCGGAAGUCAAUGAAUACGAAGAAGGGGUUGAACCAACACUGGAAUUUGUGAUGACAAAGAAGGACAUAACUGGGAGUGGAGCUCCGGCUACUCUGCUGGUUUUUAAUAAUGAGGUUGGAUUUUCCAGGAAGAAUAUGGAUUCGAUCUGCAGUGUAGGACGUUCUACAAAGAAGGGGAAGAGACAUCAGGGCUUUAUUGGAGAAAAAGAGCUCCACGAUUGGCUAGCGUGAAUCUUGGUAUCUUCAUAUGCAUGCAAUGUUCAGGGAUCCACAUGGCUCCCAUAGCAGACAGCAUUGAUGCAAGCAUGCCGAUAUGGACAUUGGGAAGUUGUACAGACCCUCUUGCUCUUCGGAUGCAAUGUAAUUUUUUGUUCUCAUUGGUUUUGUGUUUGAUAAGUCAGUGAGCACAAUGAAAGAUUCAAGAGAUGUUAUCAGUGGUUUUUAAGUGCAUUAAUGUUGUAUGUAAAAGUAGGGCAUAUAUUGACUGGGGUUAAGUUCAUAGAUCAGAUUUCUCUCUGAUCUAUGAAUUUUUCAUUCGAAUAGGCAGGCCUUUGCAGAGGAAAUGCUCAUGUCUGUCUUUUAAGGAUUUCUUCCAAAUAUUUAGAUAUGUGGUCUGCACUUUGAGUCCUACUAUACAUCAAUCCAUUUUAAGGAUUUCUUCCAAAUA